rnacentral:rRNA from 1 species
UCAUCUUCGGGGGUAGAGCACUGUUUCGGCUAGGGGGUCAUCCCGACUUACCAACCCGAUGCAAACUACGAAUACCGAAGAAUGUUAUCACGGGAGACACACGGCGGGUGCUAACGUCCGUCGUGAAGAGGGAAACAACCCAGACCGCCAGCUAAGGUCCCAAAGUCAUGGUUAAGUGGGAAACGAUGUGGGAAGGCACAGACAGCCAGGAUGUUGGCUUAGAAGCAGCCAUCAUUUAAAGAAAGCGUAAUAGCUCACUGGUCGAGUCGGCCUGCGCGGAAGAUGUAACGGGGCUAAACCAUGCACCGAAGCUGCGGCAGCGACACUAUGUGUUGUUGGGUAGGGGAGCGUUCUGUAAGCCUGCGAAGGUGACCUGUGAGGGUUGCUGGAGGUAUCAGAAGUGCGAAUGCUGACAUAAGUAACGAUAAAGCGGGUGAAAAGCCCGCUCGCCGGAAGACCAAGGGUUCCUGUCCAACGUUAAUCGGGGCAGGGUGAGUCGACCCCUAAGGCGAGGCCGAAAGGCGUAGUCGAUGGGAAACAGGUUAAUAUUCCUGUACUUGGUGUUACUGCGAAGGGGGGACGGAGAAGGCUAUGUUAGCCGGGCGACGGUUGUCCCGGUUUAAGCAUGUAGGCUGGUUGUCCAGGCAAAUCCGGAUAAUCAAGGCUGAGGUGUGAUGACGAGGCACUACGGUGCUGAAGUAACAAAUGCCCUGCUUCCAGGAAAAGCCUCUAAGCAUCAGGUAACAUCAAAUCGUACCCCAAACCGACACAGGUGGUCAGGUAGAGAAUACCAAGGCGCUUGAGAGAACUCGGGUGAAGGAACUAGGCAAAAUGGUGCCGUAACUUCGGGAGAAGGCACGCUGGUGUGUAGGUGAAGCCCCUGCGGGUGGAGCUGAGACCAGUCGAAGAUACCAGCUGGCUGCAACUGUUUAUUAAAAACACAGCACUGUGCAAACACGAAAGUGGACGUAUACGGUGUGACGCCUGCCCGGUGCCGGAAGGUUAAUUGAUGGGGUUAUCCGUAAGGAGAAGCUCUUGAUCGAAGCCCCGGUAAACGGCGGCCGUAACUAUAACGGUCCUAAGGUAGCGAAAUUCCUUGUCGGGUAAGUUCCGACCUGCACGAAUGGCGUAAUGAUGGCCAGGCUGUCUCCACCCGAGACUCAGUGAAAUUGAACUCGCUGUGAAGAUGCAGUGUACCCGCGGCAAGACGGAAAGACCCCGUGAACCUUUACUAUAGCUUGACACUGAACAUUGAGCCUUGAUGUGUAGGAUAGGUGGGAGGCUUUGAAGCGUGGACGCCAGUCUGCGUGGAGCCAACCUUGAAAUACCACCCUUUAAUGUUUGAUGUUCUAACGUUGGCCCCUGACCGGGGUUGCGGACAGUGUCUGGUGGGUAGUUUGACUGGGGCGGUCUCCUCCCAAAGCGUAACGGAGGAGCACGAAGGUUAGCUAAUCCUGGUCGGACAUCAGGAGGUUAGUGCAAUGGCAUAAGCUAGCUUGACUGCGAGCGUGACGGCGCGAGCAGGUGCGAAAGCAGGUCAUAGUGAUCCGGUGGUUCUGAAUGGAAGGGCCAUCGCUCAACGGAUAAAAGGUACUCCGGGGAUAACAGGCUGAUACCGCCCAAGAGUUCAUAUCGACGGCGGUGUUUGGCACCUCGAUGUCGGCUCAUCACAUCCUGGGGCUGAAGUAGGUCCCAAGGGUAUGGCUGUUCGCCAUUUAAAGUGGUACGCGAGCUGGGUUUAGAACGUCGUGAGACAGUUCGGUCCCUAUCUGCCGUGGGCGCUGGAGAAUUGAGGGGGGCUGCUCCUAGUACGAGAGGACCGGAGUGGACGCAUCACUGGUGUUCGGGUUGUCAUGCCAAUGGCACUGCCCGGUAGCUAAAUGCGGAAGAGAUAAGUGCUGAAAGCAUCUAAGCACGAAACUUGCCCCGAGAUGAGUUCUCCCUGAGACU